GCUCUUUGAACUUCAAGCUCUAUGAAGUAAGUUGACUUUUCUAUUUUUAACAGAAUGGACUUGAAAUAAACAACUGCUGUACCCAUUACAAGCGUCACCACGCAACAGGUUCAGCUAGCUGCACAGAAUUCAAAAUUCAGUUGAAAGCAAUUUGCAUUAGUGGAGGAAAAUGAUUAAAAACUUAAUGAUCAAAUGACAAUAAUCUGGUAUUGUGGCGGAAAGGGCAGCAGUAAACUGUUCGAUUCUGAUUGAAAGUGACCUGUGACAAUAAAUUUAUGAGAAACAUAUUCACUAACCGUUGACAUUGUAGUCAUGUGUAAUUAAUCCUUUUCCGGAUACAACGAGUGCACCCAAAUCGCGAUUCUGCUUAUAUAUAACGAUGUUACAGACUGCGUUUAAUUCCAAGGAAACAGAUUUCACGACAAACAACCAUGUAUGCACUUCUCAAAACCGCUCUUCUUCUUGUGCUUUUUGUUGCAAACACUUUAUCUCAAGGCGUUAAUAACUGGAACAACAGGAACAGACCCUGGAAUAACAAUCGUAAUGGAUGGAAUAACAAUCGUAAUAGGUGGAAUAAUAAUCGUAAUGGAUGGAAUAAUGGAUGGAACGCUAAUAAUAGACCGUGGUGACCAGGACGAAAAUGUUCAUUGACAACUAUGAGAGAUUAUACAUAAGAAAACUACCAAAGCCUUUGUAUAAGAAAAUGGAGGCUUGUGUCAUAAAAAGAAUGGCUGUGAUAAUCUAUACCGAAAACUCUUAGUGGUACAAUAGAAUUGUGAUGUGGUGUUUGACUCACAUCACGUAACAGUGAGUUUUGUAAUAAACUAAUUUUGAAAGAUACCUAA